UGCCAGCCGCCGCGGUAAUACGAAGGGUGCAAGCGUUAAUCGGAAUUACUGGGCGUAAAGCGUGCGCAGGCGGCCUGCUAAGUCGGAUGUGAAAGCCCCGGGCUUAACCUGGGAAUUGCAUUCGAUACUGGCAGGCUAGAGUCUGGUAGAGGUAAGCGGAAUUCCGGGUGUAGCGGUGAAAUGCGUAGAUAUCCGGAGGAACAUCAGUGGCGAAGGCGGCUUACUGGACCAAGACUGACGCUCAGGCACGAAAGCGUGGGUAGCAAACAGGAUUAGAUA
rnacentral:rRNA from 1 species